rnacentral:rRNA from 1 species
AGAGUUUGAUCAUGGCUCAGGAUUAACGCUGGCGGCAUGCCUAAUACAUGCAAGUCGAACGGAAAAUAUAUAGAUGCUUGCAUUUAGAUAUUUUUAGUGGCGAACGGGUGAGUAACAUAUAGAUAACCUACCUUUAAGUUGGGGAUAACAGAGGGAAACUUUUGCUAAUACCGAAUAAAAUAAUUAGACGCAUGUUUAAUUAUUAAAAGGGGCUCCAAAGCCCCGCUCGAAGAGGGGUCUAUAUCGCAUUAGCUAGUUGGUAAGAUAACAGCCUACCAAGGCGAUGAUGCGUAGCUGUACUGAGAGGUAGAACAGCCACAUUGGGACUGAGAUACGGCCCAAACUCCUACGGGAGGCAGCAGUAGGGAAUUUUCGGCAAUGGGGGGAACCCUGACCGAGCAAUGCCGCGUGAUUGAAGAAGAUCUUCGGAUCGUAAAGAUCUGUUAUUAGGGAAGAAUAUUCAGAGGAGGAAAUGCUUUUGAGUUGACGGUGCCUAAUGAGGAAGCCCCGGCUAACUAUGUGCCAGCCGCCGCGGUAAUUC